AGCUUGACUGCGAGACCUACAAGUCGAGCAGGGUCGAAAGACGGACUUAGUGAUCCGGUGGUUCCGCAUGGAAGGGCCAUCGCUCAACGGAUAAAAGCUACCCCGGGGAUAACAGGCUUAUCUCCCCCAAGAGUUCACAUCGACGGGGAGGUUUGGCACCUCGAUGUCGGCUCAUCGCAUCCUGGGGCUGUAGUCGGUCCCAAGGGUUGGGCUGUUCGCCCAUUAAAGCGGUACGCGAGCUGGGUUCAGAACGUCGUGAGACAGUUCGGUCCCUAUCCGUCGUGGGCGUAGGAAAUUUGAGAGGAGCUGUCCUUAGUACGAGAGGACCGGGAUGGACAUACCUCUGGUGUACCAGUUGUCGUGCCAACGGCAUAGCUGGGUAGCUAUGUGUGGACGGGAUAAGUGCUGAAAGCAUCUAAGCAUGAAGCCCCCCUCAAGAUGAGAUUUCCCAACUUCGGUUAUAAGAUCCCUCAAAGAUGAUGAGGUUAAUAGGUUCGAGGUGGAAGCAUGGUGACAUGUGGAGCUGACGAAUACUAAUCGAUCGAAGACUUAAUCAA
rnacentral:rRNA from 1 species